UACGAAGGGUGCAAGCGUUACUCGGAAUUACUGGGCGUAAAGCGUGCGUAGGUGGUGAGUUAAGUCUGUCGUGAAAGCCCCGGGCUCAACCUGGGAAUGGCGAUGGAUACUGGCUCGCUAGAGUGCGGUAGAGGAGAGUGGAAUUCCCGGUGUAGCAGUGAAAUGCGUAGAGAUCGGGAGGAACACCAGUGGCGAAGGCGGCUACCUGGCCUGACACUGACACUGAGGCACGAAAGCGUGGGGAGCAAACAGG
rnacentral:rRNA from 1 species